AGCCUUCUGUAUCCGUGCUGAGACCACAAGGGCUGAUGAGACUCCCAAGAUAAGUGAAGCG
rnacentral:pre_miRNA from 1 species